GCCCUGGUAGAUCAGUUGGAUGAUCAUCCGCUUUCAGUGUUGGGCAUCAAUUAAGUCUCAGCGGACGAUGCGGGUUCAAAUCCCGCUUGGGGCA